UGCCCUUUGCUCACCAAGCCAGGUGCCUCAGUUUGGGCUGUGUCAGGAGGAAGAUGUGCUUUUUCUUCCAUGAAAGGGGCCCAAAUGCACACACCCAACUGUGUUCUUGGGGUGGAGGAUGGAGAGUGUGCCAUCCUGCAGUUAUCACACAGGAGGAGAGGAAGCCAACUUAUCUCCUGCACCUAUGAGAAAGAAGAAAGGCAUAAUCAGGGAGUUGACCUGGGCUAAGGAGCAACUCUGGGACUCUUGUGCCAUGGAGAAGAGAAGCCAGAGUGUGCACAGGAAAGGAGCAAAGGACCAAGACUAUGUUUGAAGCAUUUACUACUGUAAAGUAGUUCAGUAGAAGGAUUGGUUGCUUCCAGGAUCCCUGUAUCUACCGCAUCCUCCUUAUUUUUUACAUGGCCACCCCACAUCUCUCCAGAUUUCAGGUUGGCUGUCCUGUGAUGUAGUUCUCUGAACAGUUCACAAAAUGUCAUUAAUUUGCUGUCUAUCCAGCUUUCUUCUUGUUGCAAAUAUGAGAGCUACAGUUUCAAGCUGAAAUUAAAAGUAAGUGACAAGAUUUUAAGUAAUUAAAUUAUUAAAGCAAUGCAGGUAAACUGAAUGAUGAUAAAAAUUAAAGAAAACUUAGCAGAAAUCUAAAGGAUAUAAGUUUAUAAAGAAUGUAUGAGCAAUAUAACUAAGAAAAAAUAAUAUCAGCCAAAAAAAUUGCCUGUUUUUAAAAAAUGAUUUCAAAUUAUUGGUAAAUACUUACUGAGUGUUUACUUAUUGCAAUGUAUCCUAGUAAGUGCUUGCCUAACUUUUAAAAUGGAAUCUUUUCAGCAAUUCUUUUGGCUGUGUUCUCUUAUUAUUUUCAUUACGAGGAAACUGAGGUACAAAGAGUUUGGUUGACUUGCCGAAGGUCGUACAAUUAAUCAGUGUUGGAACUGGGACUGUAAUUCAGGAAGUCUGAAUCUCCAGUAUGUCUUCAUAUAAUAAAUAAAAUGAGGCUACCA
rnacentral:lncRNA from 1 species